GUCUAUAACCAUCCAUUCUAAUGCAUCUGGUCUUCUAUGAUCUCAGAAACCAACGAGGGUCAGGUCCAUCUUAGAUGGUAUUCUGCCUGGGAGUAUCAGGUGCUGUAGGCU
rnacentral:rRNA from 1 species